rnacentral:sRNA from 1 species
GAACUACCUUUUUUCUAAUGCCUAUAAA